GAGGGGAAAUGAGGAGAACAUAUUGAUGUUUCUGAGGGUAGACAAAUGCUAUCUACCUUUUGAUUAUACCUUGCACGUCAGUCUGAUCCCAUA